UGGGGAAUCUUGCGCAAUGGGCGGAAGCCUGACGCAGCGACGCCGCGUGCGGGACGAAGGCCUUCGGGUCGUAAACCGCUUUCAGCAGGGACGAGGCCCUCACGGUGACGGUACCUGCAGAAGAAGCCCCGGCUAACUACGUGCCAGCAGCCGCGGUAAUACGUAGGGGGCGAGCGUUAUCCGGAUUCAUUGGGCGUAAAGCGCGCGUAGGCGGCCUGUUAGGUCGGGGGUCAAAUACCGGGGCUCAACCCCGGUCCGCCCCCGAUACCGGCAGGCUUGAGUCUGGUAGGGGAAGGCGGAAUU
rnacentral:rRNA from 1 species